CUUAGUUUCAGAGUUGUUCAGUAAAUGGGCCCGGUGUCCACCAGCAGGGUAUCGACCAAACAUGUGGUAGUGCAACCACAAGGUUUAACACUCUGCAAACAUUCAAACUGUGUUGAACAUCCACGUUCGUUGACCCAGGAGAGUGUUCCUGACAUCUUGUUAGGUUGAUACAUACGUGGUUCUUUAUGCAGAAAAAAAGGAUCUGAAAUCUGUCAACCAAGAAGUGGACCUUAUCUCUAGUUCAGAUCAUCUCACUGUUGCUGAGACUCAUAUCAACCACCAACUCACUACCUCCACUUGAAUGUCUAAGAAACACAAUGAGACUGUGUACUUUGUGCUGUUCUGAGCAUGAAGAAUCUCCACGGACACUGAACCCCUGCCACAAAGGAGGAUUAGAAAUAACCUCAAAUCUACACAGGAAAUUCUUUUCAUACACAGCUGUGGACUCGGUAUGUCUGUGGGAGGAAGUGAAUUCAGGAUCUUCCUAUGUCGCCAUCUUAAACUGGAACCAUCAAAAGCUGACUCUGAGGGAAGCUGCCAUCAUAUGAUGCCUUGCGGAAAGGCCCAUGUGGUAACAACUGAUGUCUCCAGCCAACAGCCAGAGAGGGGCUGCCACCAGACACGUGAGUGAGCUUGGAAGCAGGCUCCUUCUACUCGGGCCCACAUCUUGAUUACAGCCUGGAGAGAGACCUGAAUCAGAAUCACUGAGCUAAGCACCCCCUGGAUUCCUGACCCACAGAACCGUGAGAUAAUAAAUGUUUUAAGCUGCUAAAUUUUGGAGUACUUUCUCACACGGUAGUAAAUAGCUAAUAUA